rnacentral:rRNA from 1 species
GACGAACGCUGGCGGCGUGCUUAACACAUGCAAGUCGAGCGAGAAACCCUCUUCGGAGGGGAGUACAGCGGCGAACGGGUGAGUAACACGUGGGCAGCCUGCCCCAAGGAGCGGGACAACCCGGGGAAACCCGGGCUAAUACCGCAUGAUCCGCGAUGUCUCAAGGCAUCUCGGGAAAUGGUAGCUUCGGCCUCCGCCUUGGGAUGGGCCCGCGGCGCAUUAGCUUGUUGGUGAGGUAAUGGCUCACCAAGGCGACGAUGCGUAGCUGGUCUGAGAGGACGAUCAGCCACACUGGGACUGAGACACGGCCCAGACUCCUACGGGAGGCAGCAGUGGGGAAUCUUGCGCAAUGGGGGAAACCCUGAUGCGGCAACGCCGCGUGAGUGAUGACGGUCUUCGGAUUGUAAAGCUCUGUCUUCAGGGACGAUAAUGACGGUACCUGAGGAGGAAGCCACGGCUAACUACGUGCCAGCCGCCGCAGUAACAC